rnacentral:rRNA from 1 species
UACGGAGGGUGCAAGCGUUAUCCGGAUUCACUGGGUUUAAAGGGCUCGUAGGCGGUUCGUCACGUCGGGAGUGAAAACUCGGGGCUUAACCCCGAGCCUGCUUCCGAUACGGGCAGACUGGAGGUAUGCAGGGGAGAACGGAAUUCCUGGUGUAGCGGUGAAAUGCGCAGAUAUCAGGAGGAACACCGGUGGCGAAGGCGGUUCUCUGGGCAUGUCCUGACGCUGAGGAGCGAAAGUGUGGGAGCGAACAGG